ACGAACGCUGGCGGCAUGCCUAACACAUGCAAGUCGAACGAGACCUUCGGGUCUAGUGGCGCACGGGUGCGUAACGCGUGGGAACCUGCCCUUAGGUUCGGAAUAACUCCCCGAAAGGGGUGCUAAUACCGGAUAAUGUCUUCGGACCAAAGAUUUAUCGCCUUUGGAUGGGCCCGCGUUGGAUUAGCUAGUUGGUAGGGUAAAAGCCUACCAAGGCGACGAUCCAUAGCUGGUCUGAGAGGAUGAUCAGCCACACUGGGACUGAGACACGGCCCAGACUCCUACGGGAGGCAGCAGUGGGGAAUAUUGGACAAUGGGCGAAAGCCUGAGCCAGCAAUGCCGCGUGAGUGAUGAAGGCCUUAGGGUUGUAAAGCUCUUUUACCCGGGAUGAUAAUGACAGUACCGGGAGAAUAAGCGCCGGCUAACUCCGUG
rnacentral:rRNA from 1 species